rnacentral:rRNA from 1 species
UGGUGGGUUUAAUUCGAAGCAACGCGAAGAACCUUACCAGGUCUUGACAUCUGAAUGACCGGAUCAGAGAUGAUCCUUUCCUUCGGGACAUUCAAGACAGGUGGUGCAUGGUUGUCGUCAGCUCGUGUCGUGAGAUGUUGGGUUAAGUCCCGCAACGAGCGCAACCCUUGACCUUAGUUGCCAGCACUUUGGGUGGGCACUCUAGGGUGACUGCCGGUGACAAACCGGAGGAAGGUGGGGAUGACGUCAAAUCAUCAUGCCCCUUAUGACCUGGGCUACACACGUACUACAAUGGCUGGUACAACGGGAAGCGAAGCCGCGAGGUGGAGCCAAUCCUAAAAAGCCAGUCUCAGUUCGGAUUGCAGGCUGCAACUCGCCUGCAUGAAGUCGGAAUUGCUAGUAAUCGCGGAUCAGCAUGCCGCGGUGAAUACGUUCCCGGGUCUUGUACACACCGCCCGUCACACCACGAGAGUUUACAACACCCGAAGUCGGUGGGGUAACCGCAAGGAGCCAGCCGCCGAAGGUGGGGUAGAUGAUUGGGGUGAAGUCGUAACAAGGGUAGCCGUA